AUGAGUCGGAACAGCAGCAACUAAUUUUCUUAAAAAACACAUCUGGUUCCUGGGGCAGGGAAGCGAGAUGGAUGAUCAUGUUCAAAAUAAACUGGUAGAAUGGGACCUGGGUGAUUUACUCUCUACAUUUGAAGACAGGCACAUCGCUUUGCUUCUGCUACCUGUGGUGACC